rnacentral:rRNA from 1 species
AGAGUUUGAUCCUGGCUCAGGACGAACGCUGGCGGCGCGCCUAACACAUGCAAGUCGAACGAGCGAGAGAGAGCUUGCUUUCUCGAGCGAGUGGCGAACGGGUGAGUAACGCGUGAGGAACCUGCCUCAAAGAGGGGGACAACAGUUGGAAACGACUGCUAAUACCGCAUAAGCCCACAGCUCGGCAUCGAGCAGAGGGAAAAGGAGCAAUCCGCUUUGAGAUGGCCUCGCGUCCGAUUAGCUAGUUGGUGAGGUAACGGCCCACCAAGGCAACGAUCGGUAGCCGGACUGAGAGGUUGAACGGCCACAUUGGGACUGAGACACGGCCCAGACUCCUACGGGAGGCAGCAGUGGGGAAUAUUGCACAAUGGGGGAAACCCUGAUGCAGCGACGCCGCGUGGAGGAAGAAGGUCUUCGGAUUGUAAACUCCUGUUGUUGAGGAAGAUAAUGACGGUACUCAACAAGGAAGUGACGGCUAACUACGUGCCAGCAGCCGCGGU